GACGAACGCUGGCGGCGUGCCUAAUACAUGCAAGUCGACCUUAGUGGCGAAAGGGUGAGUAACCCGUGGGUAACCUGCCCAUCAGAACGGGAUAACGUUUCGAAACAGGUGCUAAUACCCUAUACUGAUGGAUGGACGCGCGGGGCAUGAGCUAGUUGGUGGGGUAACGGCUCACCAAGGCCACGAUCCAUAGCUGAUCUGAGAGGGUGACCGGCCACAUUGGGACUGAGACACGGCCCAAACUCCUACGGGAGGCAGCAGUAGGGAAUAUUCGGCAAUGGGCGAAAGUCUGACCGAGCAACGCCGCGUGAGUGAAGAAGGUUUUCGGGUCGUAAAACUCUGUUGUUAGAGAAGCGGUAUCUAACCAGAAAGCACCGGCUAACUACGUGCCAGCAGCCGCGGUAAUUC
rnacentral:rRNA from 1 species